UUUCUACCCAACGUCCCCAGCCCGUCACCACCGCCACCACGGGAGCGAGGGAGGGCCCUUGCAGGGUGCGCCCGCGCUGCCCUCUGACAGGUGCUGUUGGUACCUGCGGCCGGGCCCGCCGUCGCCGGCGCGUGAACGGCCUGCCCGAGGCUGCCGGGAGGAGGGCUGCCUGGCCGGCGCGGCCCUUCCCGUCGUGCCCCGGGCUCCUCGGAAGCAGCCUCCCGCUCCUUCAGACGUCGGACUCCUGAGUUUCGAACCUGCCCCGCGGUUUCCCCCUCACGCUGAAUCCAGGGGAGCCGCUACUCGUUUUUGAAGUUCCUAUGCAGCCCUCUCCCGACAUGUUCGAGAAUCUUGCCGGACUGGGGAUGGAUUUGCAGCCUCCGUGUUUGCCCCCACGGUUCGAAAACCGGAAUCUAGGCCCGGUCUCCUGGCCUGUGUUCUGUCGUGGGAUUUCUCCAGAGCACGGACUGACUUAACAUUUCCAUUACUGGGAAUGUAAUGGUUGCUGCGUCAGGACUCUGGAGAUGAUUUUUUUAUUUGGAACGAUAUAAUUUUUGGAAUUUCCUUAAAGGGAAAAAUACAUAUUGCUUAAUUAUAUUGCUUGGGAUAUAUUAUUGCAAGGAAGAAGAAAAUAAGACCCUUUCUUCCCCCACCUUCAAACCUUCUCCGCCCACCUGUCUUUCCCAUGGGCAUUAAUGGCGGCUCCAUUUACUCAGGCCAGAACCAGAAGAGCCAGCUUCACUCUCUCACCCCCUCUACACAAUCUGACUAGAAAUCCUGUUGACCCUACCUUCAAUCUGUGUCUAGGAUGCAACACCUCAACAUGUCCACACCCCCCUUCAUCCCUCACCUGAACACCUAGGUCUCCCUGCCCUCCCUACCCUCCCAGUCGCUGGGUUUCCGUACAGCAGCCACAGGGAUCCUGUCGUUUCUGUGCUCCAAACUGCACAGCGGCUCCUCAGUUUACUUGAAAUAAAACGCCAAAGUCCUUACAAUGGCUGCAGAGCCGGACAACCCACUGGCCUGCCUAGCUGUCUGACCUGCUCUCCCCUUCCUCUGUUAGCUGCAUUGGCCUCUGCACCGGCUGUUGUCUAUUUGUAAAACACCCCUUCCAGGCAUUUCCAGGACUGAACCCUUCAGCUCUUUCAAAUCUUUCCUCCCAUGUCACCUCAGUGAGGCCUUUCCUGACCAACCUGUUUAAACCUGCCCCUGACCCAGAGCACUGCUAGUCUCCCUUGGCCUGCUCCACUUUUCCCAGGACGCUCACCACUUCCUGAAAUACUCGCCGGGUUUACCAUGUAUUGUCUGUCUCCCACUACUAGAAUUUAAGUUCCCUGAGUGGAGGCACAUUUGAUUUUUGAUUGCUAUAUCCCGGUGGCUGCAACAGUUGGCUGGCCCAUGGUAGCAGCUCAGCACACAUUUGUGGAAUAAAUGAACCAAUGAAUGAACUUGAAAAGCUACUUUCACCGCAGAGUAUUCCCCUUCGGGCUUCUCUCACAUGGAAAUAUAUGAACAUAGGUAUAAGCACAGUAUACAGAUUUUGCAUUAUGAUUUCUAAUCAUACCAUAGAGACUUUACAUAUUUCUAAGUAUUUUCAUAAUUAUAACCAUUUUUACUUAAGUGACCUUCGAUUUUUCGUGCUUGUUAUAACAAGUCAUACAGAGUUGUGUAAAUAAAAAUUUGUCUCCUGUCCCCCUCUCAUCCCACCCUGCUGAAAGGAACCACUUUUAAACUAGUGGAUAUCUUUCCAAAUAUUUUUUAUACACACGCACACACACACAGGCACACACACACACACAUACAUAACAGGUACAAAUUUCACAGUCCAAAGACAGAUAUUCCUGAAUUGUAACUUUAUUUUCUAUAAUUCGAGUCAAUUUGUAUUUUAGGUCUUUCCUCCCAUAGUAGAAAAAUGAAAUCUAGUUUAUUUAAGGUAAAUGUUAGUAUGUAAUGAUGUUUAUUUAUUAAUGAGCAAUUACAAUUUAAUUUCAGUUGCUUCAGAAUUUACUAAUGCCCUUCUCUCCUUUUCACCAUAUAAUUGCCGGUUUUAAAAAAUUAUUAAAAAAUAUGCAAUAAUUACAGGAAAAUAUAAAUGAUAAAAUAAAAAAGCAAAAACCACCUGUAAAACCAGCAGCUAGAAAUAAGUUUAUGAAAAAUAUACUUCUAUGGCAUUUUUAAUGACCAAGUGGCAUACUAUUAUACAAAUGUACCAUAAUUAUCUCCCCUAUUUUUGUACAUUUGGGUUGUUUUCAACUUUUCACUUUUGCAAAAUUACUUGUAGCUAAAUCUGUGUGCACGUCAUUUUUUUUUUUUUUAGGAUAAAGUCUGGGAACUCGUGUCGAAAGGUGUGCUCAUUGUUGAAGGCGUUUGUUUGAUAUGAAAGAUACACAGAAAGAUGGCACAGCUUUGACACCAACUUUUCUCCACACCCUGCACUGUCACACCAUUUUUUGUCAUCUUUGUUAAUAUGAUAGAACGAUGGUUUUGCAUUGUUGUUUUAAGUUUUAUUCCACUAAUUGCUAGUAAUGUUGAACCUGUUUUUAUGCAUCACUUUUGCAGAUUGCCUACAGCAUAUCUUUUGCCCACUUGGAUUCAUCUUUGUCUUAUUCAUUUGCAAGAACUCUUUAUAGAAUAUCAGCCCUUUGUUACCUAUGUUACAGCAAUUUUCCCAGUUUGUCAUUUGCUUUUUAAGUCUGUUUAUGUGCUCUUUUGACAUUGCAGUAGUCACCGCUAGCUGGGCCAAAAGUCUGGUCUUGCUGUACAUACUGCCUUCAGAAUAAACACUUAGGAGUAAGCUAGAGAUUUUUGUUAUCAGUUACUCCACCUAGAGGACCAGCAGGUGGAGUCUCCAUGGGCAGAGUCUCGCGGACUGUCAUUUGGUGUGGGGUGGCCAAGAGGGACUGAACAUCUGGAGAACAUGGUUGUCGGGCUCUUUAUACCAGUGGACCCCUCUUUCCUAUGGAAGCCUCGCAUCUCCAUCAGAAGCAGCAGUAAAAUGGCCUCUGCUGUCUUCUGCCUUUCAAGUCUAACUCAAGGGCACCUGAGUAGGUGAACCUAAUUGCAAGGGAGUUAGAUAUGUAACCUAUUCAACUAGAAAGAAGGUAGCCAGAGGGGCUACCUACAGUCCCCACCAAACUUAUGUAUCAGGGCUUCCCAUCCUGGCUGUUGAAUUACCUAUUCUGGCAGCUGUUCCAGUCAAUACAGCUGAUAGUAAAUUUUAAUAACUGGCAGUAAAAGUCUUCCCCAGUAACCCUGAUUUUCAAUGUUUUGUUGGCCAUUUUCACACAUUUUUUCAGGUGUAUAUUUUUUCACACUAUUUGUUCAGAUGAUCAUUGUAAUUCAUUUCAGAAACUAGAUAUCUCUUGUAAUUUCCUGGGCUUCUCCUUACCCUGGCGAGUAUUCUUUGUACCGAUUUUAGUCUGAAGUCUGGUAGGUACAAAAGUUAGUUUGUGUAUUUGCUAUUUGUUAGGUGCCCUUCAUCCUGGUAUUUAAAAUUCUGGCCCAUAAAGAAACAACCACACUCACUUGUUCCCUCAAUCUUAUUGUGCCUCUUGGCAGCUUCUGACAUUGUCAACCGCUCCCUUCUUCUGACACACUUCUCUUGACUCCCACGCCAGCACGCUCUCUGGGGUUCCCCCUCCUCUGGCUGCUCCUCCUCAGCAUCCUAGCAGGCUUCUCCCUUUUCUCUCUUUACCCACCACUUGCUGUACAAAUGCGGAGUUCCCUAGGGCUCUUUCCUGGGCCCUUGUGUCUUCUCAUUUUACACUUUCUUUCGAGAUGAUCCCACAGAAGUCACAUGGCUUCCAGUAUCCACUCCAUGUCAAAGAUACUUAGUCUGUUUCUAUUGCUUAUGACAGAAUAUCUGAAACUGGGGUCGGGUGCAGUGGCUCACGCUUGUAAUCUCAGCACUUUGGGAGGCUGAGGCGGGUGGGUCAUGAGGUCAGGAGUUGAAGACCAACCUGACCAAGAUGGUGAAACCCCAUCCCUACUAAAAAUAUAAAAAUUAGCCAGGCGUGGUGGCAGGUGCCUGUAAUCCCAGCUACCCCAGAGGCUGAGGCAGG
rnacentral:lncRNA from 10 species